UUCACUGAUAUGAAGAGCUUGCUCGGAUUUGAAGAUGAACAUUGCAAAGAGUGGCGAACGGGUGAGUAACACGUGGGAAACCUACCUCUUAGCGGGGGAUAACACUUGGAAACAAGUGCUAAUACCGCAUAAUACUGAUAACCGCAUGGUUAUCAGUUGAAAGAUGGUUCUGCUAUCACUAAGAGAUGGUCCCGCGGUGUAUUAGCUAGUUGGUAAGGUAAUGGCUUACCAAGGCAAUGAUACAUAGCCGAGUUGAGAGACUGAUCGGCCACAAUGGGACUGAGACACGGCCCAUACUCCUACGGGAGGCAGCAGUAGGGAAUCUUCCACAAUGGACGAAAGUCUGAUGGAGCAACGCCGCGUGUGUGAUGAAGGGUUUCGGCUCGUAAAACACUGUUGUAAGAGAAGAAUGACAUUGAGAGUAACUGUUCAGUGUGUGACGGUAUCUUACCAGAAAGGAACGGCUAAAUACGUGCCAGCAGCCGCGGUAAUACGUAUGUUCCAAGCGUUAUCCGGAUUUAUUGGGCGUAAAGCGAGCGCAGACGGUUGUUUAAGUCUGAAGUGAAAGCCCACAGCUUAACUGUGGAAGUGCUUUGGAAACUGGAUAACUUGAGUGCAGUAGAGGAGAGUGGAACUCCAUGU
rnacentral:rRNA from 1 species